CCUAAGACGAGAUGUGUGCGUGUUGGCGCGCGUUUGUAAGACUCGUGUGUGUGUGUGUGUGUGUGUGUGUGUGUGUGUGUGUGUGUGUGUGACUAUGUACAUUAGCAGACUAUGUAUGUGUGUGAGACUGUGUAAGAUGAGAGUCUGUGUGUGUAUGAGAUUGUGUGUGUGAGACUGUUAGAGGGUGUGAGAGUGAUUAUGUACUACAUAACAGAGAAAUUGGAAGAGAUUGUGUGUGACAGGGUGUGUAUGUGUGUGUGAAAGUGUUAGGAAAGGAGUGUGUGAGAGAGAAAGUGUGUGUAUGUAAGAGACUGUGAAGGAGAGAGCACGUGUGCGUUGGGGUGUGUGUGUGACACACAGUCACGCUCCAGUGGGGUACCUCUGUUCUUUCCUGGCCCUGGGGCUGUGCCUGGCUGUGCUGCUGCAUGCCUGUCCUGAGUAGCUGUGCAUCCUGUGCAAAUAGAAGCCUUCAUGGAAGCCCAAAAGGACAGAGGUUCCGAGAGCUUGUGAGCUUGUAAAGAUUUCGAUUUGCAAGUGUUGUGACGGGGACACAGCUGGUCCUGAGAAGGCAUCAUAUUCAGACAAGCAUGUCAGAUUGCAUUCAUUACUGUGGCUUCCUAUUUCUGGGAUGGCCAAAUGUAUGAAGAAUGGAUUAUUUAACACUUAUAACACAUUUUGAAAACCUAAAUCACAUUGUUGCAACUAGGCAACUGUUGAAAAAUGGAAGCCCUGAAUUUUAGCUGGCACAUGUCUGCCUCAUUUCACAGCCUCCAUUGCAGGAAAUUUAACAAGCAUGAAGAGUGCCCCCUCCUCUGACAGUGUUUAAAUAUACCUCAGGGUCAUGACAAAAGAAUUGGGGAAGUCAUGCCUGAUUCUAUUUUUCCCUCAUGCCACAGAUCCAAUUUGUCAAGAAAUCCCAAAGGCUCAACCUUCUAAAUAUCCAGAAUCCAACUACUCUUCACUAUCUUUAGAGUUACCAGUCUGGUUUAAUCAAUUAGUAUACUGACUUUGAUUAAUUAAUUAAUUUAGUUAUUUAUCUAUCAAUUAUUAUUUGAUUUUUUUUAUCUUCUGGUAUUAAGCUAUUGGUUGAUGUUUAGUAUGGAUAAUAACGAGGGGCAGCUUCUUUACUCUUUUUGUUUCUUGCAACUGAUACCACAAAGCUUAUUAUGAUUGAAUAUAAAAUGUCAAUCAAUGAGCUCUGAAGGGAAACAUAGGAGGGUCUCACAUGUAUAAAAAUGAUUUUAUAUUCAGAUGCAUUUGUGAAUUUCUUUUGGAUUCUUGGCAGAAGUUUUUUGCUUUCUGUUGUUUGUUUAUGUUCAGCUGAUCAGUGUUCUCAGAUUAGUUGUAUUGAUCAAAGGAAACUGAUCCUUAAAUUUUGGUCUUUUCUCAAAUUAUUCAUGGUUCAGCAACUUGGAAAACAUUUUCACUGCAGUUCUCAUCUUUUUCACUUUAUGAAUUGUCCCUCAGUAAAACACCAUUCCAUGUCCUAAGCAUGUUUUAUACUCUCAACUUUUCCUUUAGUUUCUUGAGUUUGCUUUUUUAGGCAAUUUCAGGUAUUUGAAAGGUAUCUAAGUUUAUAUUAAGUGGCACAAUACCUUUAAAAGAAAAAGUAAUCUGAAACUUUGGAACCACUCUUGCAAAUAAAUAAGAAUUUGGGUCCUGCUAA